rnacentral:rRNA from 1 species
AGUGGGGAAUAUUGCACAAUGGGCGCAAGCCUGAUGCAGCCAUGCCGCGUGUAUGAAGAAGGCCUUCGGGUUGUAAAGUACUUUCAGCGAGGAGGAAGGCGUUAAGGUUAAUAGCCUUAGCGAUUGACGUUACCCGCAGAAGAAGCACCGGCUAACUCCG